CCUGGCCCACUGCACGCUGGCUGACCUGCCCGCUCGCCCCACGGACAGCUGCUCCCCUCCUUCGCCCGGGACCCAAGGCCCGGCCCUUCGGCCGGAUGGAUGGACGGAUAUUGGCCCCGGCAGAUGGACAGGCGGACGGUCGGUCGGCUGCCGGCCGGCUCCUGGAACCUGGGCCCCUCCAUACUACCCAUUUCCUGGGCCCUCCCGAUCCAGGAAACAAGACGGGCGGGGCGUGGGCCGGCCAGGAGCCCUCAAGACAGUCCCGGGGCGCGGCGCCGCCCAGAGGGGGCAAGAACCCGUGUCCCGAGGUAGAGAGAAAAAGCAACGGAGACAAAGCAAGCCGACUGGUCCCCAUGCGCACGCUCCAGCCCGAACGUGCACCCACCGCUCCAGCCCGAACGUGCACCCACCUCACCUCACUGUCUCGGGGGGCUUCUCCUGGCCUGAGAGGGACCUGGCGGGGAAGGCAUCCAAGCGGAAGCGGAAUCCUGACACCUUGGCUGCAGGUCCUGGGCCCCUCCCCGUCCCCGCCUCUGCCUGGACCCCUCCUCACCUCUCCUCCCUGCCCGCCCCACCCCACCCCCACCCCGGUGCCCCCAAGCCCGGCCACCCCCUCCCCCUCCCCCUAGCCCGGCCACCCCACACCCACCCCGACCCCUCCCCUGCCAGCCUCAGGGCCCUGCCUCCUGCCCCAGGCCCAGCCCAAGCCCCUUCCUUGCGAAAGCCGCCUCUUCAGCAGGGCCUCUCUCUGAUCUGUGUCAGGCUCUGGGACCCUAUGGGUCCCGAGUGCCUCUCUGGGUCUGGGGGUCGUAUCCCCUCCUCCCGCCACCUCUCCUUCCGUCUCUGGGUCUCUGUCAGUCUCCCUAGCUUCUUCUCUCUCCCUCUCUCUCCCUCUCUCUCUCUCCCUCUCUCUCUCUCUCUCUCUCUCUCUCUCUCUCUCUCUCUGCCCCCCACCCCCGCCUGCGCUGGCACGCGCACCCGCGUGCGCGUUUGUGUGUGUGUGUGUGUGUGUGUGUGUGUAUUGUGUGAGUGUGACAGAGCCAGAGAGCCAGAGAGAGACGUGGUGGGUGGGUGGGGGUGGCAUCUUGUGGGCAGGGGAACAGGCUCCGAGCCCGCCCGGCCGCCUGCCCAUCCUCAGCUCUCCCCGCCAGGAGCUCUCCGGUUUGACGACGAGGCCCCCCGCCCCGUGUCCUGGACUCCUGUGGGGAAGGGUGGCCUUGGAAAGGCCACCUGGCGGGCCUGAUGCCCUCCUGCUGCACGCUGGUCGCUCCGCGUGGGGUUGGCGCAAGGGUGAGGGGGCG
rnacentral:lncRNA from 1 species